UAAAAAGCCAGACCUGCCCAGUGCUUGUAAAAGUAAACGGCCGCGGUAACCUGACCGUGCAAAGGUAGCAUAGUCAAUUGCCUAAUAAUUAUAGGCUAGAAUGAACGGUUCGACGAAAAACUCCCUGUCUCCCAGACUGUAAUCUAAAACUAACCUUGGGGUGAAAAGGCCCCAAUUAAACCGAAGGACAAAAAGACCCUAUCGAGCUUAAGCUUACCCAUAAUCCAUCAAUAAAACAUUAUACCCAAGCUUUUGUUGGGGCAACAACAGGGAAAACAAAACCCCCUGUAACAAUAAACUCUAUAAAGCAUAAAACCAGCCCUAUUGAAUAUAAAAAAGCUACCGUAGGGAUAACAGCGUAAUUCCUUAAUAGAGACCUUAUCGAAUAAGGAGAUUGCGACCUCGAUGUUGGACUAGGGGCUCUCUUUUACGCAGAAGUUAAAGUAAGUUGGUCUGUUCG
rnacentral:rRNA from 1 species